GCCUUCAUUUCCGCGCAACUGCUAUUUACGACGAAAAUUCCCGCCGCGCAUUUAUAAUACUACAGUCUGGCCCAUACUUUCCUGUAAAUUUCGACAUACUAAAACGCUGUUUUCUGACUAUCAGAAUUCUGUUAAAUCUUCCCCCAAAGUCCAGGAAAUGGCAUUUUAGAGACUCUAAAUUUAAAAAUUUCCUCGGGCCUUUGGCCCUCGCUUUCAGCCCCCCCAAUCGAAAAGAGCUUCCUACGGCCCUGACUUGACAGGUUUUGAUCUGAUUUUAAUCUGUUCAAGAACCAGAUCCAAGCUUUGAAACCAAUGAUCAUCAUAAACAUUGAAUUUUCUCGGUAAAAACAUUGAACUUUGAUAUGAGAAUAGACAAUACUUUAAUGCGACCGUUCAUCCUUAGUGCAUUCAGGAAAUGAGUCCGCCUUUUACAAAUUGCAGCCCGCGAUUUGUAAAACACGGACUCAGUCCGCGUUUUACAAAUCUUAGUUCGCGAUUUGUAAAACACGGACUCAGUCCGUGUCCGUGUUUUCCCCGGUCCAGUCCAGUCCAGUCCAGUCCGUGUUUUACAAAUUCAGUCCGCGAUUUGUAAAACACGGACUCAGUCCGCGUUUUCUCGGUCCAGUCCACUCCAGUUCGGUCCAGUCCAGUCCAGUCCGUCUUUUACAACAUGCCGUAAAUUUCAACAUACUAAAACGGUGUUUUCUGACCAUCAGAAUUCUGUCAAAACUUCCCCCAAAGUCCUGGAAAUGGCAUUUCAGAGACUCUAAAUUUAAAAAUUUCCUCGGGCCUUCGGUCCUCAUUUUCAGCCCCNNNNNNNNNNNNNNNNNNNNGCCUUCAUUUCCGCGCAACUGCCAUUUACGACGAAAAUUCCCGCCGCGCAUUUAUAAUACUACAGUCUGGCCCAUA
rnacentral:lncRNA from 1 species